rnacentral:rRNA from 1 species
UACGUAGGGGGCAAGCGUUGUCCGGAAUCAUUGGGCGUAAAGAGCGUGUAGGCGGCCCGGUAAGUCCGCUGUGAAAGUCGGGGGCUCAACCCUCGAAUGCCGGUGGAUACUGUCGGGCUAGAGUGCGGAAGAGGCGAGUGGAAUUCCUGGUGUAGCGGUGAAAUGCGCAGAUAUCAGGAGGAACACCGACUGCGAAGGCAGCUCGCUGGGACGUAACUGACGCUGAGACGCGAAAGCGUGGGGAGCAAACAGG